GACGAACGCUGGCGGCGUGCUUAACACAUGCAAGUCGAACGGUGAAGCGCCUUCCUUUUUGGUGGGUGUGGAUGAGUGGCGAACGGGUGAGUAACACGUGAGUAACCUGCCCCCUUCUUCUGGAUAACCGCAUGAAAGUGUGGCUAAUACGGGAUAUUCUGGGUCUGUCGCAUGAUGGGUCUGGGAAAGAUAUUGUUUCGGUGGGGGAUGGGCUCGCGGCCUAUCAGCUUAUUGGUGGGGUGAUGGCCUACCAAGGCGGUGACGGGUAGUCGGCCUGAGAGGGUGGACGGUCACACUGGGACUGAGACACGGCCCAGACUCCUACGGGAGGCAGCAGUGGGGAAUAUUGCACAAUGGGCGCAAGCCUGAUGCAGCGACGCCGCGUGAGGGAUGGAGGCCUGCGGGUUGUGAACCUCUUUCGCCAGUGAAGCAGGCCUGCCUCGUUUGUGGGUGGGUUGACGGUAGCUGGAUAAGAAGCGCCGGCUAACUACGUG
rnacentral:rRNA from 1 species